rnacentral:rRNA from 1 species
UGGAGAGUUUGAUCCUGGCUCAGAUUGAACGCUGGCGGCAUGCCUUACACAUGCAAGUCGAACGGUAACAGGCCGCAAGGUGCUGACGAGUGGCGAACGGGUGAGUAAUGCAUCGGAACGUGCCCAGUAGUGGGGGAUAGCCCGGCGAAAGCCGGAUUAAUACCGCAUACGACCUACGGGUGAAAGCGGGGGACCGAAAGGCCUCGCGCUAUUGGAGCGGCCGAUGUCAGAUUAGGUAGUUGGUGGGGUAAAGGCCUACCAAGCCUACGAUCUGUAGCUGGUCUGAGAGGACGACCAGCCACACUGGGACUGAGACACGGCCCAGACUCCUACGGGAGGCAGCAGUGGGGAAUUUUGGACAAUGGGCGCAAGCCUGAUCCAGCCAUGCCGCGUGCGGGAAGAAGGCCUUCGGGUUGUAAACCGCUUUUGUCAGGGAAGAAAUCUUCUGGGUUAAUACCUCGGGAGGAUGACGGUACCUGAAGAAUAAGCACCGGCUAACUACGUGCCAGCAGCCGCGGUA